GACGGAGGAUGCAAGCGUUAUCCGGAAUGAUUGGGCGUAAAGCGUCCGCAGGUGGCAGUUCAAGUCUGCUGUCAAAGACCGGGGCUUAACUUCGGAAAGGCAGUGGAAACUGAACAGCUAGAGUAUGGUAGGGGCAGAGGGAAUUCCUGGUGUAGCGGUGAAAUGCAUAGAUAUCGAGAGGAACACCUGCGGCGAAGGCGGGUUGCUGGGCUGACACUGACGCUGAUGCGCGAAAGCUAGGGGAGCGAACGGG
rnacentral:rRNA from 1 species